rnacentral:rRNA from 1 species
GACGAACGCUGGCGGCGUGCUUAACACAUGCGAGUCGAACGGAAAGGCCCUGCUUUUGUGGGGUGCUCGAGUGGCGAACGGGUGAGUAACACGUGAGUAACCUGCCCUUGACUUUGGGAUAACUUCAGGAAACUGGGGCUAAUACCGGAUAGGAGCUCCUGCUGCAUGGUGGGGGUUGGAAAGUUUCGGCGGUUGGGGAUGUACUCGCGGCUUAUCAGCUUGUUGGUGGGGUAGUGGCUUACCAAGGCUUUGACGGGUAGCCGGCCUGAGAGGGUGACCGGCCACAUUGGGACUGAGAUACGGCCCAGACUCCUACGGGAGGCAGCAGUGUGGAAUAUUGCACAAUGGGCGGAAGCCUGAUGCAGCAACGCCGCGUGCGGGAUGACGGCCUUCGGGUUGUAAACCGCUUUCGCCUGUGACGAAGCGUGAGUGACGGUAAUGGGUAAAGAAGCACCGGCUAACUACGUG